UGCAAUUAUCCUCUCUGGGUAACUGGUACUCACUCAUUCCAACCUUUUAGUGGGGUAGUUGGUCUUGCAUUUUCUUCAUUAUUAGCUAUAAUUCUGUAUCCAAGGGAGUCUCUACCAAAAAAUGAAAGAAUUGAGUAGGACUAUUGAGGAAUAAACAGUGAUUUUGUCAGUUAAAAGAAGCAAUGGUUUUAGGACGGCGCAGUUAGUAUGGUUUGGUAUGGUAGCUGGUUUCAACUUAUACUCUCCAGCCUGCUAUCGUCAGAAUGCCUUUGGGAAGAAAGGGGGAAAUAAAAGGUGCACAAGCACAAAGGAAUUAAAGAGAUUCUUUCGCGGUGGUGUUCCUAAUCUCAAAAAUCUGAGGUUGCAGUUGCUUGAGUGCGCAUUAAGGUCAGGAGGAAAAGACAAAAAAAGAAGCAAAAAGCAAAGUCUGCCGGUGUACAGCUGUUUAGUAAAAAACGGAAGGUAGGGUUUCGGUGUAUGGUCGGUAUAAAAUCUCAAAAGGCAGAGAUGAGAGAACAGAGCAUUUUUGCAAGUUAAUUGUACGUAUAAAUUUUGACAUACGCCCUUUCAACGCAUAAAAUAUACGAGGAUUUAUGACGAUUGAUUGUUUGCCUUGUGUAAUACAUGGCGGAUGGCACCCCUUAAAAGCCCUAGCAAUGCUUGUAUAGCUUACGCAC
rnacentral:misc_RNA from 1 species